GCCCCUAUAGUUUAAUAAAAAUUUUAAUUUUGUAAAUUAAAGAUGUCACCUAAGGGUA
rnacentral:tRNA from 1 species